CCAUUCUCAGUUCGGAUUGUAGGCUGAAACUCGCCUACAUGAAGCUGGAGUUACUAGUAAUCGCAGAUCAGAAUGCUGCGGUGAAUGCGUUCCCGGGUCUUGUACACACCGCCCGUCACACCACGGAAGUUGGGGGCGCCCGAAGCCACUUAGCUAACCCUUUUGGGAAGCGAGUGUCGAAGGUGAAAUCAAUAACUGGGGUGAAGUCGUAACAAGGUAGC
rnacentral:rRNA from 1 species